rnacentral:rRNA from 1 species
UACGAAGGGGGCUAGCGUUGUUCGGAAUACUGGGCGUAAAGCGCGCGCAGGCGGUCUUCCAAGUCAGUGGUGAAAGCCCGGAGCUCAAUCCGACGAGCCAUUGAAACUGUAAGACUUGAGGAUGAGAGAGGUGAGUGGAAUUCCCAGUGUAGAGGUGAAAUUCGUAGAUAUUCGCAAGAACACCAGUGGCGAAGGCGGCUCACUGGCCCGAUACUGACGCUGAGGCACGAAAGCGUGGGGAGCAACAGGG